rnacentral:rRNA from 1 species
UAAGCGUGUGAUGAAUUUGAGGCUCAACCUCAAACUGUUACACGAACUGCAUCGCUAGAGUAUAUGAGAGGUAGCUGGAAUUCCUUGUGUAGGAGUGAAAUCCGUAGAUAUAAGGAGGAACACCGAUGGCGUAGGCAGGCUACUGGCAUAUUACUGACACUGAGGCACGAAAGCGUGGGAGCGAACGGGAUUAGAUACUCCGGUAGUCCACGCCGUAAACGAUGGAUGCUA